rnacentral:rRNA from 1 species
AAUCGAUAGGGAGGCAAGAGACAACCUGGCGAACUGAAACAUCUUAGUAGCCAGAGGAAAAGAAAGCAAAAGCGAUUCCCUUAGUAGUGGCGAGCGAAAUGGGAACAGCCUAAACCGCGUCCCGUUUCGGGAGGCGGGGUUGUGGGAGAGCGACAUAAGCUAAAAGUUACUAGACGAAGCAGCUGAGUCCUGCACCUGAGAUGGUGAGAGUCCAGUAGUUGAAAGUAGCUCUAGCAAACGCUACCACCCGAGUAGCAUGGGGCACGUGAAAUCCCGUGUGAAUCAGCGAGGACCACCUCGUAAGGCUAAAUACUUUUGGGUGACCGAUAGUGAAGUAGUACCGUGAGGGAAAGGUGAAAAGAACCCCCAUCGGGGAGUGAAAUAGAACAUGAAACCGUAAGCCUCCAAGCAGUGGGAGGAGAAUGGAAUCUCUGACCGCGUGCCUGUUGAAGAAUGAGCCGGCGACUUAUAGGCAGUGGCCUGGUUAAGGCGUGAAGCCGGAGCCGUAGCGAAAGCGAGUCUUUCUAGGGCGAAUGUCACUGCUUAUGGACCCGAACCCGGGUGAUCUAACCAUGGCCAGGGUGAAGCUUGGGUGAAGCCAAGUGGAGGUCCGAACCGACUGAUGUUGAAAAAUCAGCGGAUGAGCUGUGGUUAGGGGUGAAAUGCCACUCGAACUCGGAGCUAGCUGGUUCUCCCCGAAAUGCGUUGAGGCGCAGCGGUUGAUUGUACUGUCUAGGGGUAAAGCACUGUUUCGGUGCGGGCUGCGAAAGCGGUACCAAAUCGAGGCAAACUCUGAAUACUAGGCACGACAUUGGUCAGCCAGUAAGACGGUGGGGGAUAAGCUUCAUCGUCAAGAGGGAAACAGCCCAGACCACCAGCUAAGGCCCCUAAAUGACCGCUCAGUGGCAAAGGAGGUGAGAGUGCAAAGACAGCCAGGAGGUUUGCCUAGAAGCAGCCACCCUUGAAAGAGUGCGUAAUAGCUCACUGAUCGAGCGCUCUUGCGCCGAAGAUGAACGGGACUAAGCGGUCUGCCGAAGCUGUGGGAUGUCCGUUAGGGCAUCGGUAGGGGAGCGUUCCGCAAACGGGAGAAGCAUCAGUGUAAACAGGUGUGGACGAAGCGGAAGUGAGAAUGUCGGCUUGAGUAACGCAAACAUUGGUGAGAAUCCAAUGCCCCGAAAACCCAAGGGUUCCUCCGCAAGGCUCGUCCACGGAGGGUGAGUCAGGGCCUAAGAUCAUGCCGAAGGGCGCAGUCGAUGGACAACAGGUCAAGAUUCCUGUACUACCCCUUGUCGGCAAUAAGAGGGACGGAGGAGGCUAAGCUAGCCGAACAAUGGUCAUCGGUUCAAGGGCCCGAAAGCCUGAGUACUAGGCACCUACGGGGCCGAAGUAGCUGAUGCCACGCUCCCAAGAAAAGCUCUUACGCCAUCCCGAAGGUCUCUUUGGGAAAUUAAAUAGCCAUGACAUGAAGUGUGUCUGGAAACUAAGACAAGUGCCUGAAAGGUCCCGUAUGGAGGUACCUGUACCCGAAACCGACACAGGUGGGUAGGUUGAGAAUACCUAGGGGCGCGAGACAACUCUCUCUAAGGAACUCGGCAAGAUGGCCCCGUAACUUCGGGAGAAGGGGUGCCCCUCUGGGCCGCAGUGACCAGGCCCAGGCGACUGUUUACCAAAAACACAGGUCUCCGCAAAGUCGAAAGACGACGUAUGGGGGCUGACGCCUGCCCAGUGCCGGAAGGUUAAGGAAGUCGGUGACUCGAUAACGGGGAAGCUGGCGACCGAAGCCCCGGUGAACGGCGGCCGUAACUAUAACGGUCCUAAGGUUUGCGACAAUAAUUUNCGACAAAGGAGCAAAUAAAUAAGCUAGCUUUAGUAAAACCAAACUAAAUGCUGGAAACUCCUCAAAAACUUGGUACUACUCGUUAUAGAUUCUUUGGGCUUGCAAAGAACCCUCGCUGCUUACUCCCUUAGGUCCUAAGGGGGGUGAAGGCGAUGCCUGUGGAAGACUGUUUUYCCGUUCGUUAGGUCCCCUCAACGGAGGAAGCGAGCAAUAGGUUUUUUGUUUUGUCUUAUCUAGGUCUAAUCUCUUAUUAUGAUCUACUACUCUCGUCAAAGAAUAUGAACUAUUUCAGUCAAAAAGUAUAAGGCAGGGGGACAAUCAGCAGGAAAGACCCCCAGUGUGAAAACAAGGCUCUCCCCAUAGGGGAAGUAUUGUUAAGAGAAAGUUAUAUAGGGGGAAUYCUCAGAGACUAUACGUUUGGAGAUUUUCAAUGAAUUUAGAAACACAAUGGAUUGUUGGGUUCGUUGACGGAGAGGGCUGUUUUCAUGUUUCUAUCAAUAAGAAUAAUGAAAUGUCUCUUGGUGUCCAAAUCCAACCAGAAUUUACUGUUGUUCAACACGAAGACGACAUACAGAUUCUUUAUGCUCUCAAGCAGUACUUUGGUUGUGGCGUUGUACGCCGAAACCAUGGCAAUAGAUUUGCCUAUCGAGUGCGUGGUCAAAAGAAUCUUCGUGACAGGAUUGUUCCAUUUUUGGAGAAUCAUAAAUUAAAGACCAAAAAACGAAUCGACUUUGAAAAGUUUCGAGAUGUUGUUCUUUUGAUAGAAGGACGCAAACAUCUUACGGAAGAAGGGAUUGAGUAAAAUUCGGAAACUUCAAGAAGGUAUGAAUCGUAAAGGGAAGCAUAAUUUAAAUAGCAGGAAGAGUGUUUCUAUAGAAGAUCUAAGAUAGAGUCCAGCUCUUUGUGAAAACAAAGAGAUAAACUGAGCGAAAUUCCUUGUCAGGUAAGUUCUGACCCGCACGAAAGGCGUAACGAUCUGGGCACUGUCUCGGAGAGAGACUCGGUGAAAUAGACUUGUCUGUGAAGAUGCGGACUACCUGCACCUGGACAGAAAGACCCUAUGAAGCUUUACUGUUCCCUGGGAUUGGGUUUGGGCUCUUCUUGCGCAGUCUAGGUGGGAGGUGAAGACAGCGUCCUUCCGGGGACGCUCGAGCCGAAGAUGAGAGACCACCCUAGAAGGGCUAGGAUUCUAACCUUAUGCCUAGAAGAAGGCUAGGGGACAGUCCCAGGUAGACAGUUUCUAUGGGGCGUAGGCCUCCCAAAGGGUAACGGAGGCGUGCAAAGNNNNCCUCAGGCUGGACGGAAAUCAGCCUUCGAGUGUAAAGGCAGAAGGGAGCUUGACUGCAAGACCUACCCGUCGAGCAGGGACGAAAGUCGGCCUUAGUGAUCCGACGGUUCCGAGUGGAAGGGCCGUCGCUCAACGGAUAAAAGUUACUCUAGGGAUAACAGGCUGAUCUUCCCCAAGAGUUCAUA